AACGAACGCUGGCGGCGUGCCUAACACAUGCAAGUCGAGCGAGAAAGCCCGCAAGGGUGAGUAAAGCGGCGCACGGGUGCGUAACACGUGGGUAAUCUGCCCUGGAGCCCGGAAUAACUCGCCGAAAGGCGUGCUAAUGCCGGAUAAGACCACGGGAACCUCGGUUCCUGCGGGAAAAGGUGGCCUCUGUAUACAAGCUAUCGCUUCAGGAUGAUCCCGCGGCCCAUCAGCUAGUUGGCGGGGUAACGGCCCACCAAGGCUACGACGGGUAGCUGGUCUAAGAGGACGAUCAGCCACACUGGAACUGAGACACGGUCCAGACUCCUACGGGAGGCAGCAGUGGGGAAUCUUGCGCAAUGGGCGAAAGCCUGACGCAGCAACGCCGCGUGUGUGAUGAAGGUCUUCGGAUCGUAAAGCACUGUCGGGAGGGACGAAUAAGGGCCGGGUGAACAAUCCGGUCCGACGACGGUACCUCCAGAGGAAGCACCGGCUAACUCUGUGCCAGCAGCCGCGGUAACAC
rnacentral:rRNA from 1 species